rnacentral:lncRNA from 1 species
UUCUCUCGCACUAAUUGUCGUACACGUUCCUCGGUUCUGGCAAACGUGCGUGUCCUGCAGCUUUUCUGGUUCCGAUCCGUUGUGUCCUGUGCAGGUCACCGCUUGCGGAUCUGGAUCGGGCGCAAGGCAGAUUGAGCAAACCGAGCGUGUGCACUCCUCAGGAGGAGCCAGCGGAACGGCCGCUUGUGGAGCUUGUUGGUAACUGAAGCCAGAGGGAGUGGUUGCAGGCUUCGGGUGUGUUUUUCCAAGCCUGGUCGGCUGUGCAGUGGAGCCCAGGUUCCAGGGAUGUAUAUGCAGGUGGAAACACGUACCAGCACCCGCCUCCAUCUGAAGAGGGCUCCCGGCAUCCGGUCUUGGUCCCUGCUAGUUGGAAUAUUAUCCACUGGCCUGGCUGCUGCCUAUUACAGUGGAGGUAAAGUAUGCUUUCCCCUUUAGCUUCCUUGCACUUGGAAAUGAACAAAAAGCA